GAGUAAUGUCUGGGAAACUGCCUGAUGGAGGGGGAUAACUACUGGAAACGGUAGCUAAUACCGCAUAACGUCGCAAGACCAAAGAGGGGGACCUUCGGGCCUCUUGCCAUCGGAUGUGCCCAGAUGGGAUUAGCUAGUAGGUGGGGUAACGGCUCACCUAGGCGACGAUCCCUAGCUGGUCUGAGAGGAUGACCAGCCACACUGGAACUGAGACACGGUCCAGACUCCUACGGGAGGCAGCAGUGGGGAAUAUUGCACAAUGGGCGCAAGCCUGAUGCAGCCAUGCCGCGUGUAUGAAGAAGGCCUUCGGGUUGUAAAGUACUUUCAGCGGGGAGGAAGGGAGUAAAGUUAAUACCUUUGCUCAUUGACGUUACCCGCAGAAGAAGCACCGGCUAACUCCGUGCCAGCAGCCGCGGUAAUACGGAGGGUGCAAGCGUUAAUCGGAAUUACUGGGCGUAAAGCGCACGCAGGCGGUUUGUUAAGUCAGAUGUGAAAUCCCCGGGCUCAACCUGGGAACUGCAUCUGAUACUGGCAAGCUUGAGUCUCGUAGAGGGGGGUAGAAUUCCAGGUGUAGCGGUGAAAUGCGUAGAGAUCUGGAGGAAUACCGGUGGCGAAGGCGGCCCCCUGG
rnacentral:rRNA from 1 species